AUCCUUUAGAGCGAUCUAGGUUAGUCCUGGAAUCUUCAUUUUUCUUCUUGCCAUUUAGGGGCCUUUUCUCCUCCAUUUUUCUUCUGCCGUAUUCCUCUGAUUUGGUCUCCCGCAAACCUUUCGCCCCUUGUCCCACCUGAUUUCUCCGGGAUCUUUAGGGUCCUUUUUUGAAAUGUCAACCGGUACCUCUGCCUCUAGUGGUUCCAGGAGUUCAUCCGCGUCAGCCCCUCAG
rnacentral:lncRNA from 1 species